CAACCCAUUUCCAGAAGGGUCUGAAAGAACGGACUGCGCAUGACAACUAAUUUACAUAGAAAGUGAGAAACCCAUCUUCGGGGCGGGGAAACCUGCCUAUAAAAUGUCCCGAAGCCCAGGCAGCAUCCCCAGAACCUUGGACAUCUCAUCAACUGGACUACCACAGCUGCCACGACUCUGAAACCAGGAUCAACAUCCCAUCAAAUAGAUCGGCGCUGAAACCAGGAUCGGCAUUCCAUCAGCUGGAUCGGCACUGAAACCGGGAUCGACAUCCCGUCACCUGGAUUGGCGCUGGAACCAGGGCUGAACUGGUAACUCAAAUUCAGAGAGCAUCCUGCUUUGUGGAGGACAAUUCUAAUUGCAGGAGACCACCCUGCUCCCCAGAAAAGGAAUUGUGUCAACACAUCCCUGCUGAAGCUCAAGUUAACCACUGAAGGACAGCUUAUCCUCCUCGCAGGUGCAAUUAUUGUCAGCACGAACCAAACUUGCUUCACACAUGAGCAAACUUGACCCACAGAGGGGAGACACUCAUUUCUUUUAUUUAUGCUAAGCAGUAUGAUACCCACAGUACAUUCUACACCUUAGAUGUUUAUCAGCUGUGGCAGCAAUUAUAAAAGAGUUCAAAGCAAUUUGUCCUCUGAAAUUCAAAAGGUAACCUGGAAUAACCCAGCUAAAUUUGGAAGGAAAUUCCACUGCUGGUGUUAACUAGGUAAUUUCUCUUAAGACCUCACUAACAGUAAAGCCACAGGUUUUGUUUCAGCAAUAGAAAAUCCUUUGGUAAAUACCAUAAACCCAAUCAUUGUGCCAGGAUUAAAUCACAGCAGAAGUAUACCCUGUCCCCUGGAGCAUGGAGUGUGGCCUGAUGGAAUGGAUGGGAAUUCAUCCUGAAUGAGAACCCCUUGUUAUUUUGUACUUGUAGACAGCCUUACUGUAGAUACAAGUAAUCAAUCUAACACUUGUGUUCAUUAAUUAGUUCAAAGUAAGGGUCACAGUUUUAAUUAUUGAGCUCUGGUUACCUCUUCCUAUUGCUGAAAUCUGACUACAUUUUGUUCCCAGUCUAACAACCUGUUCCUUGUUGGCGUGAUCCUCAUGUUGGUAAAGAAGCUGCCACAAGACAAGCUAAGACAGCUGUUGAAGCAAGAACAAGACAAGGGAAAAAAGAUUUUGACUCUGUUCAUCAUGAUGUGAAAGGCAUCCACUGAGUGAUGGAACAAGUGAACAUAGACGGGGAACCCCAAUGGUGGGCCAUUUCUUUUGAGUCACUGCCAACAGUAGUGGGGAUUUUUAACAAAAUGUUGCACCUUUUGCUUGUCUUCUUAAUGUUAAUCAUUUUGCUUUUCAUUUUGGUGAUCGGUUUGCACAUUAUGUAGAAAUAUAGAUUACCCCCAACGCUUAGAGACAGCUUAGAGAUUGUAUUUGUCCCUCUAUUCUUCUGUCCCUCUCCCUCUCUCUCUUCUUUUUUCCGUUUCCAUGGAUCACCACAUCCAUACCAAAGUUUGAGCCAUAGGGUGUAGUGUAGAGGCACCCACCAGUUUGCUGUUCCAGUACAGAACGUGCCAUUUUUUUUUCAGAAGGCGACAGUGAUGGGCCUCAGGGCGCUGAGGCUAAAGCUUAUGGGUUGAGUUUCCUGCAGCCAGUUCCCACCAGAUGCUGUUUCGUCAAGGCUCUCUGACCCUGCCAGGUCUCCCAGAAUCAGGGAGUAGUUGUGGGGGUUAUCAGGUGCGCAGUGCUCCGCAUGGACACGCACCCGGCACACGGAGCAGCUGUGGGAUGAGCAGUUGGUAAGCCCAGCACACGUGCAUUGCAGCAGCUCCAGCACCUUCUCCUCCUGCAUCACGGACAUCCAGAUGAUGUUGUGCGCACGGAGCUUGCUGCUGCCCAGGCUGGUCCAUCAGAUUUCCUGCUGAAUUCCACAUUUCUCCUUUCCCAGCAUCAUAUCCCACAGAGGUUCGUUGUAGAAUUCCAGGAAACUGGAAGAAAAAGCUUCCCAUCUGGCCUUAGGUGAAGAUGCGUGUCUGUCCAGGGUCACCUGGAUGAGCAGCUGAAUCUUCUGGUAAGCUGUGGGUGGGAACACAUUGAAGCUGAAGUUGUAGUGGAGCUCUGGGCUCCACUCCCAACCCACGUGGGACUCCUUUGGGCCACUUCAGCAGUAAUGUCCGGGUCUCUUGGAGGGUGAAGUGCAGGUGCUGCAGCCCCUGCUGCCACUCAGACUCCUUUGGAACCCCUGGCAGCAGAACACAGGGAUAUUCCUCUUGAGAUCCUGGAUAAGGUUUUAGAAGUGCCACUCUUUCUGCUCUUCCAGGAGGGUUUUCUGGGACAUUUCCAGGACCCAGAGCCUAGCCACAUGGUCCACAUGAAUCCACAGAUGCUCUUUCAUCUGGCUCAGACGGGCCUUCAUGAUUCUCAGCUGCUCCUUCAGCACCCGCUCCCAGCCUUUGGCCCCAUCAUGCUCCCACCACCACUGCUCCUCUUCCUACAGCCACCACUUUUCAUCGGCCAAAACCUCAGUCUUUCACCGGCUCUGCUCCAUCUCCGUCUGAAAUUCCGACAGCUCCAACUCUAUGGACUGCACCCAGAGACUGAAGUCGUUCCCCUGGCAUUCCUGCCCCUGUUUCUCCCUCUGGAGCCCCUCCAGGCACUGCCACAUCUCCCAGUUCCUGGUCUCCUACCCCCACUUCUCCAUCUCCGGGUCCCGGAGCCAUCCACAGACCCUCCAGAGGAACCCUCACAAAUCGCCAGUUUGGCUCUGCAAGUCCCAGAGGGCUCGAUGGAGGGUGCCAGAAAGGAGAAGAAUUAGAACAGAGCAGAAUUAGAGCAGUCUGAAGGCAGCCGUUCAUACAGAUGUUUUCUAAAUUUUAGUAACAGGCCAUGUUUUUUAAUAUGGGACCCAGCAGCCUUACUGCUCUGUCAGAUAAACUGGUGGUAAGUAGCCAUGCUGAAACAACUCCACAUCUGCCCGACUGCGAACAUCUUGACUUGCAAAAUGUACACAAAUUGUCUACUUGGAAACAUUUUGUGUAAACUGAAUAUAAGGGAGGGAGUGUCUUUACCAUAUGAGCAAGAAACUGUUCUAAGAAGAGAACCCAUGCUGUUACGUCAUGUUAGGUACUGCCUGCCAUUUAUUUACCUCCUUGCUGGCAAAUAUUCACUCAUCCAGUUGAACACAUGACUUUGUGUUCACAUCAAAAAUUUCUCUGUUUAAGCAUUUUUUCCACAUAAAUAUCUUUUCCACUGCAAGAAUGUCAAAUAUGCCUUUGUAACUAUAUAUAUAUAUAUAUAUAUAUGUAUAUUCUUUAUUUCUGCAAGUGCAUUGUGAGAAAAAACUUUGAAGAUAGUCUGGGUAAGCAGGUUGCAUUGCCGUUAAAAGUGAGGCCCCCAGAUGAAUUUAGACUGUUAACUUGCCUUAAAAAACAGAGGUUCCUUUUUUUCCCUCAUUAUUUUAGCAAACCAAACUUAUGAGUCUGGCCUUUUCAAAGAGGGAGGACUUGCAGCAAUUGCAGCAUUUUUUUCUUCUGCUGUCUGUGGAAGUAGAAGUUGUGUAAAAAGAGUGAGUUGAGUUUGUUUCCAAGUGACCUCUGUGGUGGUCUACCUCCACCCUAGGCUGGACUGUGACCUGACAAAUGCACAUUAGGCUUAUAGAAAUAAGCAAUUACCCAAUAUUAGGGGAUGUGACUUUAAUUAUUCAGCUCCUGUCACAAUACAGUAAUUACUAGAAUCUACCUACACAUACUAUUGAGAUUCACUGCCCAACCCCUUCGGGAUGAACCGUGCACUAGUGAAAAAAUUACUGCAGCAAGAUGACCUGUGUCGACUGCUGGAAUGCGUCCGAAGCAAUGGACACAGAACCCUAAUCACUGUUCAUUGCGGUACAGAAAUGACACAUAGCACAGAAAUGAUCGCAGAAAGAGUGAUGAGAAAUGGAGACCACCACUAGUGGGACAUUUGAUUUGGGUAGUCAUCAACUGCAACAGGAAUUCAAGGCACAAUGUUGCACUUUAUUGGAAUUUUUCUGGUUUAUGUUGUAUUAUUCUUGUUGUUGAAUAUAGUUCUGUAUAUUAGAGUGUGUAUACUAGCUAGAUACAUAACGCUGUGGCACAGACCUCCUCACUUAUAAUGUUGUUUUAUCACAUUCAAAGCAAUCUUAAAAAAACUUUAUUUAGGUAACCGGAUCAAGAAUUUCCAUCCGUUUAAAACUGGAGCACGAUAAAUCUUUGUUUAUAGGCACAGAGGCAAGAGGUGACCAGACCACCAAUCUGUCAGUUCCCAGGAAUGUGACUGUCUAAUGAGCUCCAGUUUGUUAACUAACAGCCUUGGAAAUCUAUCUUUCUGGCCUGAAAAGCAGCCCAGAUGGGACAACAUCUUUAUUACUGAACUUUCAAAGAAAGUUACCAACCUGAAUUGGGGCCAGGAUGGAAAAUUACUAGGAUUGAAGCCCAUUCUCUUUGACAUUAUAAACAUCGGUCCAAAGUGAGACCCUCUGAGCUCUCCUGGACCACAGGGGACUGUGCUCAGCCCCUCCCUCUGGGUGAGGCCUCUCAGAGCCAGAGAACUUUCAAGCUUGCCAAAUUUGGAGGACAAAAAACAAUGGCGAAUCCUGAGCUCAUAUCCCCACUCCUCAAGGCUCAACCCUGAGCCCACUGAAAAGAUGCAAAGGCAUUCAAAGUGACUACUUAACUGAAUUAAAGGGGAUUUUUUCACAGGUAUACCUUGAACAGGCUUUUAAUAUUUGUGUGCAUACAAAUGUGAAAAUGCUGGAGCAAAUGUACAAGCACUGUUGUUCUAGCUUCUUAAGUAUUUUAGAUUUGUAAGUUAGGCCUGUGAGUAAGUUACUACUGUGUUAUAGUAAAUUCUAUAUGAAUACAUUGCUAAGUAGUUUAAGUUAAAUUAUCUACUGCAUGCUGUUACAUGUUAAGUACUGUUAAGGUUAAGUGCUGUUAAGUUUCAGUUCUGUUAAGUGCUGUUAGGUUUAAGUGCUGUUAAGUUUAAUUUCUGUUAAGUUUGUUAUUAAAUUUAAGUGAUGUUAGGUUUAUGUUCUGUUAAUUUUAAGUUCUUUCAUGUUUAAGUUCUGUUACAUUUAAGUUCUGUUACGUUUAAGUUCUGUUAAGUUUACGUGAUGUUAAGGUUAAUUUCUGUUAAGUUCUUUUAAGUUUAAUUUCUGUUAAGUUUAAGUGUUGUUAAGUUUAAGCAAAGCUAAGUUUAAGUGAUGUUAAUUUUAAGUUCUGUUAAGUUUAAGUUCUGUAAAAUUUAAGUGAUAAGGUUAAGUUGUGUAAAGUUUAAGUAAUGUUAAGGUUAAUUCGUGUUAAGUGUUGUUAAGUUUAAGCAAAGUUAAGUGAAGUUAAUUUUAAGUUCUGCUAAGUUUAAGUUCUGUAAAGUUUAAGUGAUGUUAGGGUUAAGUUCUGUUAAGUUUAAGUGAUGCUAAGGUUAAGUACUGCUGGGUAUUUGGCAUAAACUGUUGGCCCAGUCUGGGCCCAGUUUAAUAUGGGGAUAUACUCUGACCCUUGUGACCCAACACAAGGGGCUUGCACAUUUCUUUUCAUCCUUACCCCUUCCUAUCCUUUUCUCUUCCCAUUCCCUUCCACACCCCCUCCCCAUCCUCCCACCCCCGUCACCCCCCCCUCCCCUGCCCCUUGCUAGCCUUCGCAUAGGUAGUUUUUAGAUUGAUUUUGGAUUUUUCUUUGCUUUUUCUCUCUGCUUUAACCAUCUAGUAGGCUGUAGAGCAAACAUUGCCAACAUGCUUUCUCAUCCUUUCACUUGAAUAAUAAACCUGCUUUAGCAAAUA